rnacentral:rRNA from 1 species
CCUACGGGAGGCAGCAGUGAGGAAUAUUGGUCAAUGGGCGCGAGCCUGAACCAGCCAAGUCGCGUGAGGGAAGACGGUCCUAUGGAUUGUAAACCUCUUUUGUCGGGGAGCAAAAGACGCCACGCGUGGCGUUCCGAGAGUACCCGAAGAACAAGCAUCGGCUAACUCCGUGCCAGCAGCCGCGUUAAUACGGAGGAUGCGAGCGUUAUCCGGAUUUAUUGGGUUUAAAGGGUGCGCAGGCGGAAGAUCAAGUCAGCGGUAAAAUUGAGGGGCUCAACCUCUUCGAGCCGUUGAAACUGGUGUUCUUGAGUGAGUGAGAAGUAUGCGGAAUGCGUGGUGUAGCGGUGAAAUGCAUAGAUAUCACGCAGAACUCUGAUUGCGAAGGCAGCAUACCGGCGCUCAACUGACGCUCAUGCACGAAAGUGUGGGUAUCGAACAGGAUUAGAUACCCCAGUAGUC